UAUUAAAAUUUUCUUUCAUUUUUACCAUUAAAAAUUAGUGUAGAUGUCAAAAUAAUCAGACAGUUGCAUGUAUGUGCCACAUGUACUUCAUGUUGACGCACAAAACCCAAUUUUUAACGAUAAAAAUGGAAGAAAUUUGACUA
rfam:Gossypium hirsutum cultivar TM-1 unplaced genomic scaffold scaffold3689.1, whole genome shotgun sequence